CCCUUAGACGUCCUGGGCUGCACGCGCGCUACACUGAUGUGUCCAGUAAGCACCUAACCUAUUCCGAGAGGAGCGGGUAACCUUAGCAAAGCACAUCGUGAUGGGGAUAGAUUAUUGCAAUUAUUAGUCUUGAACGAGGAAUUCCUAGUAAGCACAAGUCAUCAGCUUGUGUUGAUUACGUCCCUGCCCUUUGUACACACCGCCCGUCGCUCCUACCGAUUGAAUGUUCCGGUGAGCUCUUCGGACUGCGCGGUCUGCAGUUUCUGCGUUCCGUGCGGAAAGUUGUGCAAACCUUAACAUUUAGAGGAAGGAGAAGUCGUAACA
rnacentral:rRNA from 1 species